rnacentral:tRNA from 1 species
CGGGGUGUGGCGCAGUUUGGCAGCGCGCGCGCUUUGGGAGCGUGAGGUCGCAGGUUCAAAUCCUGUCACCCCGA